UACGUAGGGGGCGAGCGUUGUCCGGAAUUACUGGGCGUAAAGCGCACGUAGGCGGCUCUUUAAGUCGGGGGUGAAAUCCUGGAGCUCAACUCCAGAACUGCCUUCGAUACUGAAGAGCUUGAGUCCGGGAGAGGUGAGUGGAACUGCGAGUGUAGAGGUGAAAUUCGUAGAUAUUCGCAAGAACACCAGUGGCGAAGGCGGCUCACUGGCCCGAUACUGACGCUGAGGCACGAAAGCGUGGGGAGCAAACAGG
rnacentral:rRNA from 1 species